rnacentral:tRNA from 1 species
GCCUGUAUAGCUCAGCGGUAGAGCGCGACCUUCGUAAGGUUGAGGCCGCAGGUUCAAAUCCUGCUACAGGCU